GCCCGUCUUUGAUUGCUGAUAAAAUAGAUGUUAAUAAUUUAGAAAGAGGUUUCGUGGAGCACUUUGAAGACCCAGCAAUAUACCGUUGUUUGUAAGGACACUUAUGUAGUUUAGGUAUCCAAUACAGAGAUGGAAGAUCCAGUUCUUCAUCUUUGGUUGAAAUACCAAAGGAACAAAGAACAGACCUAUGAUUAUCCAGGAUUUCCUCUUUGGUAAGUGUCGUGAGGGUAUAUG
rnacentral:lncRNA from 1 species